GGUACCGUGUGUGUAGUGGUAGCAUACUUCCCCGUCACGGAAGAGAUCCCGGUUCAAUUCCGGGCGGUACCG
rnacentral:tRNA from 1 species